rnacentral:lncRNA from 1 species
CUGCGUAAUUCCGAUUUCUUGUUUACGGGUUUCCUCUCCCCACCAGAGAGAAGUCCACAUGGAAGGGGUGCGUGCCCCUCCUGUGCACUGAGGUGCCCCAGCCCCAGGACGGGCCAUGUGCCCGUUAGCUGAAGGGGGGUGGGAAGGGGAAAACAGGAAGCCACAAGAAGGUUGGCCUUGGCAAGGAUGGUCACAUUGUUUUUCCCUGAGACAGAAGGAAAGGCUGCAGCUGAGAGAAAUGGGUGACAGUCAGUAUUAAAGAAGGGAGGCAAAGUCCACAGCAGGGCUGGGGGCAGCGAGAGAUGCGGAGCCUUGCGAACAGAAAACGUUAGGCUCCGUGAUGGUUUGUGAAUGGGCUUCAGGGAUCCCUAUGUGCUGCUGUUGCGAUGGGGUGAAUUUGUGGUUUCUCAGAGGACUCGUCUUAGAGAAUUCAUUUGCUCUAAGGGGAAGGCGUCUCACCCUUGCUUCUUCUGCUCUCAGUACAUUCUGGGGACCCUCUGGCCCCCAUGCCUUCUGCCCGUGCCCAGAGCCUUCUAUAAAUUGUCAGAAAGUCACUGCAUUCAGCGGCUCCUUAUUAUGCAGCAGUAUAAAGUGUCUGCUCUGUGGAUGUGCCGUUGUUAUUUUGUUCCUUGCAACAGAUGGGCUAGAGUUUCCCGCUUCUCACCUGACAUGGCUUAGCGGUAAACUGGUACAGUAAAUCCUCUCGUUUCAGGUGACUGGGUGGUGGGGCUGCCACUAUGAAUUAAUCAAGCUAUCUUCAAGAAGCCCAGUGGUGAACCCAAAGUAAGCUGUGACAAGGUGUUUCUAAGAGGAACCUGGCUGGGUGUUUAUUCA